rnacentral:misc_RNA from 1 species
UAAUUGGCAUCCAGCACGAGCGCCAGCCCCGUAUUAUUCUCCAGAUCGUGUAACUCAAGCGUAUCAAAACAGCCUUCCUGUGAAAGCGUACCAGUGACCUGCUUCGCCACUUCGCCAUUCUCACUCAUCAAUGUCUGGCUGAAAUCCUUUACCGGACCACGUAAUGGAUCAAAAUCAAAUUCGUUCGAAAAACUGGCCAUUUCCGGCGUAAAAGACUCAAGGGAUUUCGGGUUAUCACAACCUGCCAGUAUCAUGCACAAUAACGUCAGUAAAAGGGGUUUCUUCACACGUAUCACCAGGAUGAAAAGAUAUUUAU